rnacentral:rRNA from 1 species
AACGAACGCUGGCGGCGUGCCUAACACAUGCAAGUCGAACGGAUUUUGGCCUGUAGCAAUACAGGUUAGAAUGAGUGGCGCACGGGUGAGUAAUACGUGGAUAAUCUGCCUCCGAGAUUCGGAUAACCUGCCGAAAGGCGGGCUAAUACGGAAUAAGACCACAUCCGCUUAGGCGGAAGAGGUUAAAGGUGCCUGGGUAACCAGGUAGCACUUGGAGAUGAGUCCGCGGCCCAUCAGCUAGUUGGUAGGGUAAUGGCCUACCAAGGCUAUGACGGGUAGCUGGUCUGAGAGGACGACCAGCCACACUGGAACUGAGACACGGUCCAGACUCCUACGGGAGGCAGCAGUGGGGAAUAUUGGACAAUGGGCGAAAGCCUGAUCCAGCAACGCCGCGUGGGUGAUGAAGGCCUUCGGGUUGUAAAGCCCUGUCGGCGGGGAAGAAAAAUCGGGAUUCGAAUAGGGUUCCGAUCUGACGGUACCCGCAAAGGAAGCACCGGCUAACUCCGUGCCAGCCGCCGCAGUAACAC